AGUCUGGGUCUGAGCUGGAACCUGCUGCAAGCGUUUGACGGUACUAACUUACAUAUAGAUCUGUCAAGAUGAUGUAAGACCUGAAAUCUCUCUGUAAGUUGAUCCUCCUGACCCCAUGAUUAGGAGCUUCACAAUGUGGUACCACACCUGUUAAUCUCCAGAACAAGAUCUCAAGGAAACACAGGAAAUUCCUAGAGUGGCAAAACAUCCUAUUUGAAGACAUUCAGUUAUCCCUCUGUGCAUUAGGAGUAUCGUCUUUAGUUAACUAGUGAUAUGUAUGAAAGAGUUAGGUUAGCAACAGCUCUUGCCAAAAAAAAAAAAAAAAUAUUCAGGUGUAUUAUUCAUGAUGAACGAGAUAAUGCUGUCACAAUCUUAUUGACUUAGCAAAAAUUUAGUUCUUAUUCCUGCAAACUGAUGUAAGAAAGUCAGCUCUCCAGACAGAUACUGACCUUGUGAAUUAGUCAUCUCAACAUGUUCCUCCAAAACAAAACUCCACAGCAGGGGAGGAUAGAGGGUCACACACCUGCCCUUAUGUACUAUGAUGCAGAGGUGAUACAUGUCAUUUUUACUCUCAGCUUGUAGAGCCAGAACAAAGCCUGAUAUGCCCACAAGGGGUCUGGAAAAUAUUCUGGAGCACAUGGCUAUUUGGUGAACAGUAAAUGUUUCUGCUACACCAGGCUUUAGCAGACUUCAAAUUUGUUCCUAACAAGCCUAAUUCACACCACUGUCUAUACCUUGAGUCUUCCUGGAAUCUUAUGUUGAUGUUUUUCUAGCACAGCAUCUGGCACAGAGUAAGUACUCAAUAAAUACACUGAGCAGAGCACUUAGACCAUUUUUCACUCUAUCAUUGGACUUUAGCACCAAUGAAUCUGCAAUAUCAUAUCAGGAAAGUGUAAUUGCAACUCUAACUGCAAAGAAAAUUUAACUGAAAAAAUGAUCAGCCUUGCUUCAGUUUUAUUUUGUUUUGCUUUUUGUAGUUUUUGCUUCGUUUCUUUGUUCCAGAGCAGAGAUUCAUUCCUAACUGUCACUGCAGCUAGAACAAUAGUAUCCGCACACAAUUAAGAGUGAUUCAAGUUCUUGGGAAAUGUUCUUCAAAUAUCUGUACUUGCAUUGGUAUACACAUCUCUUAAGUGUAAACUAGAUUCAUUUCCUGUCAGAUACUGUAUUUUAUUUUCAAUCAAUACUGUCCAUUCUGUAAUGGUUCACUGAAUAGACUUGAGGAUGACAUUUUAGGUUGUGCCUUGUAUUUGUCAAUUAAUAGCACUUUGAUUGUGUUAGAUUAAUAAACUUUUUCCAUCUAGGUUUUCUUAUUUCUAAAUAAAAAUGUUUAUUUCUACACCUUCAUGUUGACAAAUGAGAUUAAAUAAAUUAGCAAGUCAAUCUGCAUCUAGAAAUGUAUGUGUAUGUUAAGUGAUGGAUAUUAUCAUGAUGAUAAUUUUCAUGAUCAUCUAUCCUAAGGAUCUUACUCUAAAAAGAAGUCCCUGAAGAAAUUUUGAAAGUAUUUACUUAAACAUUUCCAUUCAUUCCACUUUCCCCCCAAUUAACAGUCUAGUAUCUUGAAAUAUCUUGUCCUAGGACAAGAUUUGUUAAAUGAGUAAAUGAUACACUAACAAUAAAUGUAACUUUAAUCUCAAUAUUUUGUAAAUUAUGCUUACAUUUAGGUUGCACAUGUUUCACUUGACUUUUCUACCUGCUUCAAAACAUG
ensembl:lncRNA